GACGAACGCUGGCGGCGUGCUUAACACAUGCAAGUCGAACGGAAAGGCCCUGCUCUUGUGGGGUGCUCGAUUGGCGAACGGGUGAGUAUCACGUGAGUAACCUCCCCUUGACUUUGGGAUAACUUCAGGAAACUGGGGCUAAUACCGCAUAGGAGCUCCUGCUCCAUGGUGGGGGUUGGAAAGUUUCGGCGGUUGGGGAUGGACUCGCGGCUUCUCAGCUUCUUGGUGUGGUAGUGGCUUACCAAGGCUUUGACGGGUAGCCGGCAUGAGAGGGUGACCGGGCACAAUGGGACUGAGAUACGCACCAGACUGCAACGGGCGGCAGCAGUGGGGAAUAUUACACAAUGGGCGCAAGCCUGAUGCAGCGACGCCGCGUGCGGAAUACCGGCCUUCGGGUUGUAAACCGAUUUGGCAUGUGACGAAGCGUGAGUGACGGUAAUGGGUAAAGAAGCACCGGCUAACUACGUG
rnacentral:rRNA from 1 species